rnacentral:rRNA from 1 species
CAGGCCUAACACAUGCAAGUCGAGCGAGAAGCUUAUGAAUGAAACUUCGGUUGAGUGAUUAAGCGGAAAGCGGCGGACGGGUGAGUAACGCGUAGGCAACCUGCCCCAUACAGAGGGAUAGCCUCGGGAAACCGGGAUUAAAACCUCAUAAUGUGAAAGAUGCACCUGUAUCUUUCGCCAAAGGUUUAUCGGUAUGGGAUGGCCUGCGUCUGAUUAGCUAGUUGGUGGGGUAACAGCCUACCAAGGCAACGAUCAGUAGCCGACCUGAGAGGGUAAUCGGCCACAUUGGAACUGAGACACGGUCCAAACUCCUACGGGAGGCAGCAGUGGGGAAUAUUGCACAAUGGGCGAAAGCCUGAUGCAGCAACGCCGCGUGAGCGAUGAAGGCCUUUGGGUCGUAAAGCUCUGUCCUAGGGGAAGAAAAAAAUGACGGUACCCUUGGAGGAAGCCCCGGCUAACUACGUGCCAGCAGCCGCGGUAAUACGUAGGGGGCGAGCGUUAUCCGGAAUUAUUGGGCGUAAAGAGUGCGUAGGUGGUUUCAUAAGCGCGGGGUGAAAGGCAAUGGCUCAACCAUUGUAAGCCUUGCGAACUGUGAGACUUGAGUGCAGGAGAGGAAAGUGGAAUUCCUAGUGUAGCGGUGAAAUGC